GCAUGCAAAUAGCUUGGUCGGUAGAGCAUGGGUUUACAUCAGUCAGGGUCAUGGGUUUGAGCCCCACAUUGUGCA